rnacentral:rRNA from 1 species
UACGGAGGGGGCUAGCGUUGUUCGGAAUUACUGGGCGUAAAGCGCACGUAGGCGGCUUUGCAAGUCAGAGGUGAAAGCCCGGGGCUCAACCCCGGAAUUGCCUUUGAGACUGCAUCGCUAGAAUUGUGGAGAGGUAAGUGGAAUUCCGAGUGUAGAGGUGAAAUUCGUAGAUAUUCUGAAGAACACCAGUGGCGAAGGCGACUUACUGGACACAUAUUGACGCUGAGGUGACGAAAGCGUGGGGAGCAAACAGG